rnacentral:rRNA from 1 species
AGCUUAAAGAUAUGUUGUUUUAAGUUAGGCCUGCUCCAUGAUAAAUUUUAAAUAGCUGCAGAAAUGUACUAAGGUAGCAUAAUCAAUUGUUUUUUAAUUAAAAACUAGAAUGAAAGGCUUAAUAAUGAUUAAAAUUAAUUGAAUUAUUAAGUAAAAUUUAAAUUUUGAUAAAAAUGUCAAACAAACCUUUAGGGACGAGAAGACCCUAAAAGCUUGAACUUUAUAAAAGCCUUAGCCAGAAUAAAGUUUGAAUUGGGGCAAUAAUUUAAGUGUAAAAUUUAAAUGAACUUAUUCAAUUAAUCGUUAAUUUUGAUCCAUAAAUUAUGAUUGAAGUAAAGUUACUUUAGGGAUAACAGCAUAAUUAGUAUUUUAGAGUUCUUAUCGAUAAUAUUGGUUAUGACCUCGAUGUUGAAUUACUUUUCUAACUAAUGAAACCGUUAGUUAAGAAGGUCUGUUCGACCUAUAAAUAAGUACG